AGAGUUGAUCAUGGCUCAGGACGAACGCUGGCGGCGUGCUUAACACAUGCAGGUCGAGCGAUGAAGCUCCUUCGGGAGUGGAUUAGCGGCGGACGGGUGAGUAACACGUGGGCAACCUGCCUUGUAGAGAGGAAUAGCCAUUCGAAAGGAUGAUUAAUACCUCAUAAUAUUGUAGCUUCGCAUGAAGCAACAACCAAAGGAGCAAUCCACUACAAGAUGGGCCCGCGGCGCAUUAGCUAGUUGGUGGGGUAACGGCUCACCAAGGCGACGAUGCGUAGCCGACCUGAGAGGGUGAUCGGCCACAUUGGGACUGAGACACGGCCCAGACUCCUACGGGAGGCAGCAGUGGGGAAUAUUGCACAAUGGGGGAAACCCUGAUGCAAGCAACGCCGCGUGAGUGAUGACGGUCUUCGGAUUGUAAAGCUCUGUCUUCAGGGACGAUAAUGACGGUACCUGAGGAGGAAGCCACGGCUAACUACGUGCCAGCCGCAGC
rnacentral:rRNA from 1 species